AGUCUCAAUGGACAGGCAGACUGCGUGCUGGCACGCAAGGCUGCAUGAACAUUUGAGACGCUAACCCGUAUGAGCAUGGAGGGCGAUAGCCCAGAAUGCGAAUACGGGUAGGAUUGCGGGAGCGCCAAAGGCGCAGAGCAAUCCGUGGC
rnacentral:sRNA from 1 species